AUCAAGCGCGAGAAGGGCGUUUGGUGGAUGCCUUGGCAGCAAGAGGCGAUGAAGGACGUGAUACCCUGCGAUAAGCUCUGGGGAGCCGGGAAUAGGCUUUGAUCCAGAGAUCUCCGAAUGGGGCAACCCACCUGAUACUCGGUUAUUGUUCACCUCUGGUGAUCGAUAAUCGUGUAAACCAGGUACUUUGAGGCUGAAUACAUAGGCUUCAAAGAGCGAACCCGGGGAACUGAAACAUCUAAGUACCCGGAGGAAAGGAAAGUAACAACUACUCCCCUAGUAGUGGCGAGCGAACGGGGACCAGCCGAGCCUUGAGAGUGAGAAGAACACGAUGGAAAGCGUGGCCAUAGCGGGUGACAGCCCCGUAUUCGAAGCUCGAUGGGACGUAUCAAGUAGGGCGGGACACGUGAAAUCCUGUCUGAAGAUCGGAGGACCACCUUCGAAGGCUAAGUACUCCUUGCUGACCGAUAGCGAACCAGUACCGUGAGGGAAAGGUGAAAAGCACCCCGACGAGGGGAGUGAAACAGUACCUGAAACCGAACGCCUACAAUCAGUCGGAGCC
rnacentral:rRNA from 1 species